rnacentral:rRNA from 1 species
UGUUUAUCAAAAACAUAGCCUGCUGCAGCAUAACAGGUAAAACCUGCUCAGUGAUUUUUAAACAGCCGCAGUACAUUGACUGUGCUAAGGUAGCAUAAUAAUUUGGCCUUUAAUUGGGGUCUGGGAUGAAAGGGAAAACAUGGAAGUACUGUCUAUACUAUAUUUUUUAGAAAUUACUAACGGGGUGAAAAUUCUUCGAAGGGAAAAAAAGACGAGAAGACCCUAAGAAUUUUUAGUAAAUUAUAUAAUAUAUUAGGGUUUUUGUUGGGGCGACAAAUUUUCAUAAAACAAAAUUAUUUUUAGGAACAAGAAUUUUUUAAGAAAGGAAAAAUUACCUUAGGGAUAACAGCAUAAUAUUUUAUGAUUGUGACCUCGAUGUUGGACUAGGAAAGCGCAUUACUAACCGUAAUGUUUAUAGGUUCUGU